UUCGGUGCCCGAGUUGUAAUUUGGAGAGGGCAACUUUGGGGCCGUUCCUUGUCUAUGUUCCUUGGAACAGGACGUCAUAGAGGGUGAGAAUCCCGUGUGGCGAGGAGUGCGGUUCUUUGUAAAGUGCCUUCGAAGAGUCGAGUUGUUUGGGAAUGCAGCUCUAAGUGGGUGGUAAAUUCCAUCUAAAGCUAAAUAUUGGCGAGAGACCGAUAGCGAACAAGUACAGUGAUGGAAAGAUGAAAAGAACUUUGAAAAGAGAGUGAAAAAGUACGUGAAAUUGUUGAAAGGGAAGGGCAUUUGAUCAGACAUGGUGUUUUGUGCCCUCUGCUCCUUGUGGGUAGGGGAAUCUCGCAUUUCACUGGGCCAGCAUCAG
rnacentral:rRNA from 1 species